rnacentral:tRNA from 1 species
AAUGAUGUGCCUGAUAAAAGGGUUAUUUUGAUAGAAUAAUUCAUGCAUCCUCAAAUGCUUUCAUUA